rnacentral:lncRNA from 1 species
AUGCGCAUAUUGCUGCCAGGAGUACACAUGCACCUGUGUGCACUCAUCCUGCCUUUUUUUUUUUUUACAGGAAGGAAAACACCAGAAGACACUUUGCAAGCCUCAAUUUUGUCCCACCUGCAGGGUCCCUUAAUGUCAAAGGGCUUUAGAAAGGAGGAAAAACAUGAUGUGAGUCUUAUAGGCAGACUGCUGCUACAGCAAUACAUCCAGAAUCAGAGUGAGGACUCCAUCCCAGCAGGGACAGUCCAGCUCAUGACAGCUCGUGUAACUUGUAUGUGGCAGUAAGCAGAUAAGUUACAGAUGGAUGAGUCAUUGCCAGAGAAAACAUAACAGUUUCAACUGAGAAACAGAAAAACAUUUGAGAUAUUAAAGCAAAUACUUGAUGACUGACAAGGAAACAGUAUCUUCAUGGUAAUGAGCUGAGUAAAACUGUUUGCCCAGACUAAUCCUCAGAAUUCUUUGCAAAUGUGGUUUAUUUUCCACAGGGCUUUAUAAAAACAACAAAAACACUCAACAUCAGACGGCCAUAGAAAUGGCAAAUACAAAUAUCUAUGUUACCAAGCUCUGCAACUGUGUUCACAAAUCUGAUCAUUCUCAUUUCUUUUGCAUAGGAAAAGUUUCCACAGGUAGGUCUAUGUCCUAAACUGGGGUACAACACAGACUGGAACUCUCUGCAUUUAAACAGUAACUAUUUUUUCCACACUGUUCUUUUCACUACGCGUGCCCAUAAACUUGCUCGCAACUUCCUUACUUUACAAACUGAUGACUUUUGGAGCUGCCCGCUGCAAGCACAUGCACCUCCUUGUUUGAGUACAUGUUUCCCCUUCAAAGAGCUACUAGAUGCAUUUUAUGCACCUACAACUUAGAUGCAAACAUGUAUUUUUUUUAUUGUAAUCUUGUUUAGGCAGAGCUCAGGAGACGUGAGCCAAAGCCUCUGAACAGCAUUAAGGGCCCAAACCGUCCUCCACAAGACGUGAGGCGCUUUCUGACGAGACACAGCUGCGCCUAACCUUCCUACAGCAUUUAGCUACCACACAGGUGUUUCCUAACCUGUUUUAAACCUUUGGCCGUUGUUUUUUUAUUUGUUUUGAGGUGUUCACAAGGGGAAAAACGAGCGAAGAGCCAACGCAACUUCAGAAUGCGCCACAACCUCGGCUCGCUCCUCGGCUCGCUCCCCGCCUCGCACGGGCCCCCC